UUGAAAGGGAAACGAUUGAAGUCGGUCGUGCUGGCGCGAAAUCAACCUUCUCGUCCUGAGACACAUGGCGUGGCGAGCCUCAAAACCGUCACGAAGCGUGAACUCUUGGUGAAAUGGAGCACUUUCGUGUCCGCUGGUUAACAUCAAUUUCGAACGUCAUAAAAGGGCUGGAGGGAUGUGGCUCCUUCGGGGAGUGUUAUAACCUUUAGCGGAAUGUGGGGUUCGGGAUUGAGGAUUGCAACGAAUAUACCUUUAGGGCUGUUCCACCUGGCUUCUCUUUGGUAUCCUGGUGACGACAGCUUGCUGACGUCGUUAGGAUUCGCCUUUGAACAGGCUAGAGUGUGAGCAAAUUCGUUAAGGAUGUUGACGUA
rnacentral:rRNA from 1 species